AUGCCACGUGACUACCGUCCUCCUCCCUCGCGGAUCAGUCCGCAUGUUCACGGUGCAUUUUUUAUGGAAUAUGUUGAGCAAACCUGGAGAAGCGUCAGCUCAAGAUAUUAUUGUUGUCAUUGCUGUGGAUCUUUACCUGAUACACUGACUUGGCUCGGGACCAGCACUCCUGCUGUUGGACAGAAAGACAUCAGUAAACUUGAGAUAUGACUGCACUAUGCUGUUGCUGGUGACCACAGUUAAUUCUACAAGACAUGCUGUGACAACAGGAGAGAUGAGUCCUCCGUCACAGAUGGUGUGGUCAGUGAAGAUGGUCGCCUGCAGGUUCAAGCUCAUUGCAUCUCCAACCCACAUCCACUGCCACUGUACUUAAGGGAAGUUAAAGACUUUCUUCUGCACUUACAUUUGGAUCACCUCGAUCCAUGACAGUCAUUCAGGCAGUAAUGCCUGGACUGGAAACAAGCAUCCUUAAAAUAAUACAACAUUCCAGCUCAUGUGUUGGAAUGGAAAACAAAUGUGUUGUUUAAAUUAGAGACUGCACUUGUGACAGAACAACAAAUAUUUUAUUUUGAUUAUAUAAGUAAUGUAAGUACAAAACAAACUUGUGGUAGGCCUAAACUUAUUUUCAGAAUAAUUACAUCUGAGACUUUGUUUCAUUGUAAGAUUAUAACAGUGAUGGCAAUAUAAUUGUUUGUUGUUCAGCAGAACAGUGUCCAGUAUGUUGGCUGUUAUACUUUGUUGUGUUUGAAAAUAAAAGUUGGGCUGAUUUUAACAUCAUUACAAAAAUUGUUGUUAAUUAUUUUUAAAAAUAUUCAUGGUACCACAAAUUGUUUUUUCAUUUAGUUGAACUUAACAUGUUUGUCAGUAGGUAAACAAUUAGUAUUGUACAGUCAGAAAUAUCAAGUUAUUGUUAAUACUGCAAGUCUGCAGUAUUAUGUCUGUUAGGACAACUAAUGUAUAAGUUGUCCUAACAGUCAUCUUAAGUAAGCUUUACUUAGUUUUUUUGAGGCAACGAGUUUCCAUAAUUUUUACUACUUAAUACUGCAGAGUUGCAGUAUUAAGUAGUAAAAAUUAUGGAAACUCGUUGCCUCAAAAAAACUAAGUAAAGCUUACUUAAGAUGACUGUUAGGACAACUUAUACAUUAGUUGUCCUAACAGUCAUCUUAAGUAAGCUUUACUUAGUUUUUUUGAGGCAACGAGUUUCCAUAAUUUUUUUGAGUUCUGGGAACUAACAAGGCUGUACAGUGUACUCAAAAUGAGUAAGUUGCCCUAACUUGGUCAUCUUACGUAAACUUGAUCCAAUUUUUUUGAGUUCUGGGAACAAAUGAGCUUGUACAGAGUACUCAAAGUAAAUAAGUUGUCCUAACUUAGUCAUUUUUAGCUAAGCUUUACUCAAUUUUUUUGAGGCAACGAGUUUCCAUAAUUUUUUUGAGUUCUGGGAACUAAUUAGAUUUUACAGUGUGUGCUCUUUAGCCCCGUGCUUUGUAGUGAUGUUCAGCAUGUUGGUUUUGCUGUCAUCAGCUUCUUCACAACCAUCAGGGAAGUUCAAAUUUUAGGUAAAACAGUAGUUAUGUCUUGUGAAACUGGAACCCACAUCAAAUUUGGAUCCUGCAAACAACUAAACAUGGGAACAAAGGUUUUCUCAUCAGUAUGCGACAUUUAAAUGCUAGUUUUUCAUGAUACCGUUGAUUAAAGAAUUAUAAGGAUGUUUCUGACAGGACAUCCAAGUAUGUUAUAUUUAACUAACAAAAAUGAAAAUAAAAACUAAUUAACUUACUGAAACAAUCAUGUAUGCUUACGAAACUGAAAUAAAAAAUAUCAAGG
rnacentral:lncRNA from 1 species